UACAGAGGUCUCAAGCGUUGUUCGGAUUCAUUGGGCGUAAAGGGUGCGUAGGCGGCGCGGUAAGUCGGGUGUGAAAUCUCGGGGCUUAACUCCGAAACUGCAUUCGAUACUGCCGUGCUUGAGGACUGGAGAGGAGACUGGAAUUUACGGUGUAGCGGUGAAAUGCGUAGAUAUCAGGAGGAACACCGGUGGCGAAGGCGGCUUUCUGGACAGAAACUGACGCUGAGGCGCGAAAGCUAGGGGAGCAAACAGG
rnacentral:rRNA from 1 species